CCUACGGGGUGCAGCAGUGAGGAAUAUUGGUCAAUGGGCGUAAGCCUGAACCAGCCAAGUCGCGUGAGGGAUGAAGGUUCUAUGGAUCGUAAACCUCUUUUAUAAGGGAAUAAAGUGUGGGAAGUGUCCUGGUUUGUAUGUACCUUAUGAAUAAGGAUAGGCGAACUCCGUGACAGCAGCCGCGGUAAUACGGAGGAUCCGAGCGUUAUCCGGAUUGAUGGGGUUUAAAGGGUGCGUAGGCGGCCUUUUAAGUCAGCGGUGAAAGUCUGUGGCUCAACCAUAGAAUUGCCGUUUAAACUGGGAGGCUUGAGUAUGUUUGAGGCCGGCGGCCUGCGUGUUGUAGCGUU
rnacentral:rRNA from 1 species